rnacentral:rRNA from 1 species
GAACGAGAACGUGGAGCAAUCCAUGAGUAAAGUGGCGACCGGNGUGAGUAACACGUGACCAACCUGCCCUCGAGUGGGGAAUAACUCCGGGAAACCGGAGCUAAUACCGCAUAACAUCGCAAGAUCAAAGCCGCAAGGCGCUUGAGGAGGGGGUCGCGGCUGAUUAGCUAGUUGGUAGGGUAAUGGCCUACCAAGGCGAAGAUCGGUAGCCGGCCUGAGAGGGCGCACGGCCACACUGGAACUGAAACACGGUCCAGACUCCUACGGGAGGCAGCAGUGGGGAAUUUUGCGCAAUGGGGGAAACCCUGACGCAGCAACGCCGCGUGGAGGAUGAAGUCCCUUGGGACGUAAACUCCUUUCGACCGGGACGAUACUGACGGUACCGGAAGAAGAAGCACCGGCUAACUCUGUG